GGCUCCAUCGUCUAGCGGCUAGGACGGCAGAUUCUCAAUCUGUAAACCAGGGUCCGAUUCCCUGUGGAGUCA
rnacentral:tRNA from 1 species